rnacentral:misc_RNA from 1 species
AAGAUUUUGGUGCAAUUGAGGAUUCUGAUUCUUUCUGCCGAUACCUGCUAGAUAAGGCACAGGUUGCACUGGUCCCAGGGGGCGCCUUCGGAGAUGACACCUGCAUACGCAUCUCUUAUGCAGCAUCUCUCACAACCCUACAGGCAGCUGUAGAGAGAAUUAAGAAAGCACUUGUUCCACUGAAGCCUGCUGUCCCUGUUUGAAGUAGGUAGACGUGAACAUAAAUUGUGAUAAUUUGUUGUACUCUUUUAUCAUCAAUAAUGAUAUGAUAGAAUCCCAUUGUCGUUUGGACUAUGCACGAGUUGGUAU